rnacentral:rRNA from 1 species
UGUUCAAGUUGUUAAGGGCGCACGGUGGAUGCCUUGGCACCAGGAGCCGAUGAAGGACGUAGGAGGCUGCGAUAAGCCUCGGGGAGCUGUCAACCGAGCGUUGAUCCGAGGAUUUCCGAAUGGGGGAACCCCGCACCAGUCAUGUGGUGUGACCCGCGCCUGAAUAUAUAGGGCGUGUGGAGGGAACGUGGGGAAGUGAAACAUCUCAGUACCCACAGGAAGAGAAAACAACAGUGAUUCCGUGAGUAGUGGCGAGCGAAAGCGGAUGAGGCUAAACCAUGUGCAUGUGAUAGCCGGCAGGCGUUGUGCAUGUGGGGUCGUGGGACGCAUCUUGUUGCUACUGCCGUAGUGGCCGGGAGUCAAAAAUAGUGUGUUGUUAGUGGAAGGCCUCUGGAAGGGGUCGCCAUAGAGGGUGAGAGCCCCGUACACGAAAACGCGCACUCUCUCGUGAUGAUGUUCCCAAGUAGCACCGAGCUCGUGGAAUUCGGUGUGAAUCUGGCGGGACCACCCGCUAAGCCUAAAUACUCCCUGGUGACCGAUAGCGGACAAGUACCGUGAGGGAAAGGUGAAAAGUACCCCGGGAGGGGAGUGAAAUAGUACCUGAAACCGUGUGCCUACAAGCCGUGAGAGCCUUAGGUCCUUCGGGUCCGGGGUGAUUGCGUGCCUUUUGAAGAAUGAGCCUGCGAGUUAGCGGUACGUGGCGAGGUUAACCCGUGUGGGGUAGCCGUAGCGAAAGCGAGUCCGAAUAGGGCGUUCCAGUCGCGUGCUCUAGACCCGAAGCCGAGUGAUCUACCCAUGGCCAGGUUGAAGCGCGGGUAAGACCGCGUGGAGGACCGAACCCACUUCGGUUGAAAACGGAGGGGAUGAGCUGUGGGUAGGGGUGAAAGGCCAAUCAAACUCGGUGAUAGCUGGUUCUCCCCGAAAUGCAUUUAGGUGCAGCGUCACGUGUUUCUUGCCGGAGGUAGAGCACUGGAUGGUCUAGGGGCCCCACAAGGUUACUGAAAUCAACCAAACUCCGAAUGCCGGUAAGUGAGAGCGUGGCAGUGAGACUGCGGGCGAUAAGGUUCGUAGUCGAGAGGGAAACAGCCCAGAUCAUCAGCUAAGGCCCCUAAGCGUGUGCUAAGUGGAAAAGGAUGUGGAGUCGCAGUGACAACCAGGAGGUUGGCUUAGAAGCAGCCACCCUUGAAAGAGUGCGUAAUAGCUCACUGGUCAAGUGAUUCCGCGCCGACAAUGUAGCGGGGCUCAAGCACACCGCCGAAGCUAUGGCAUUCACGCAAUAGCCUGC